CAUAUUUUUAGUUUUGUAAUUUAACUUAAACUCUAACAAAAUUCUAAUUAAAAUUGUGAACAUAGCCCUAUUGAUCCCUGUGGAUACAAUCCCAACACAUUACUAUCUAUAUAGUUUGAGUUAAGGUUUAUUUUUGACCACCUAUGAUAGCGAUCAGCUAUGUACUUGAUUUGAUAUAGCCAUUGCUACGAGUGUCAUGAGUAGAUAUCAGUGAAAUCCAGGCUAGGAGCGCUGGAUUGCUAUGAAAAUAUUUUUAAGUAUUUGAAAAGUAGUAAGGGUUUGUUCCUGAUCUUUGGAGAAGGGUCAGAACUA
rnacentral:lncRNA from 1 species